UGUUGUCAGCACAGAGCCUGCUUGGGAUCCUCUGUCUCCCUCUGUUCCUCCCCUGCUCGCUCACUCUUUCUCAAAAAUAAAUAAAAAAUAUUACUAAGGAGAAAACUUAAAAACUCUAAGAAAGGACAUAGAAGAUUAUCUGAAUAAGUUGACAGACUUGGGGUUCACUUGUUUUUGGCCCAGUGGGCCCUGUGUCAGUCUUCUGACCUCCAAAACUUGUGCUGUUUUGAAGCCACUAAAUUUGUAGUGAUUUGUUACAGUGAACAGAAAAUCAAUCCGGGACCCAUUUCUCCUGUCCAGCUGAAUGCCAAAGAAGAGUCCUCACUGCAUUUGAUGCACAAGCAGAGUUUCCUCGCAUAUACUUUCAACUCUUGGAAGGAAACGUGGUACAUAUGAUCUACAGAGUAAUCUUAAUUCACACUUGCCUGCAUUUGGAGUAUUAUUCUGUGGUGCUCGUUGCAGUAGAUUUAUUUCCCUUCCUUUAAUCAGCUCAAUUUGUUUUCAGACCCAAGAAUGUGCUGAUGAGCAAUGAGAUGAUAAGAAACUAUUAAAAAACAACUAAGAAUUUAAAUAUGAUGGUGGGAAAUUCCCAAGUGGAUUGGCCCUCCAGUUCCUGAACAGUGUACGAAGAAACAAUAGCAUAGCUCCCCGCGACGGCUGCUUCCACCAUAACUUUCAUCUGAUGCCUGAUUCAUUUGAUACUCUAGAAAACAGCUCCCAAAAGAAGAGGCUGAUAGCAUUUUGCCUCCUUGAUGCCUCCUGACUGUACCAAGCCCAGAUUAUUGAAGGUAGGUAUUGCUCACACUUAAUGGAAUCUCACUUAAUAUGUUCACAACAGAUAACAGUGGUGAUUGAAGGAACUUUUCCAAGAGUAUGGAAGGAUACUAACCAUCUAAUAGGACGGAUGACACAGAGAAGCUAAAAUAUGGGGACAUGUCCUGAAACAUGUUGAGCUGGUACCAGCCUCAGCAACAGUCCAUGGAGAAAGAGAAUUGUAAGACGGGGCAAAUUAUGGGAAAGUUUAUCUUAUCAGAUCACCAAGAAACAGGCAAAUCAAAGGGCAACCAGCACUCAUAGGGACAGAGAAUUACUACAGAGGGAGAAACUCAGGAAAGAUUCUGAGAAGCCAGAGAAGGAUUAUGGGUGCAGAGCCAAGGAGGUCCCCCCAUUUGCUUUUUGUCGGCCCCACACUCCCAUAUACACAAACCACAGGACUUCAAGGCUAAUCAUUUAUUGACCAGGUAUAGGAAGUUCUUAUUCAUGAUAGAGUUCUCCUGGGUAUGGGAAAGACAGCUGGAAAAUUUGGAGAAAAUCUUGAAAUCUUGGUUGGUUGAUGUUUUCCUAGAUAAGAUUCUGAAGAUGCAGAGAUAAUGCUUUCCUAUGUGAUUAUGAUGGAAAUCAGGUCACAGCACUUGCCACUAGAUGGUGUGGGGACCACAGAAGGGAAGAUCCUGGAGCCCAGGUAAGGAAGCAUUCACUCAACACUAAAUAAGCAAAUGAAAAAGAGAACACAGAAACUUAUUAAGCAUUCCUUGGAUUGAAUUGAAGCAAAAAGAACUUCUGUUAUAGAGACAAAUGGUGAACAGUAGAUGUCAAGCUGUAUUGUAACAUGUUAUUUGCCAGAAUAGGGGAGGGAGGGCAAUGAAUAAAUGCCCCCCCCCUUUUUUCUACUGCUGAUCUCAUAUUUAUUGUCCCCAAACUGAAUCUAUGAAAAAGAGCAAUGAAGGAUCCGAGGCUUGUUCUGCCACCUUCAGCACUAGAAGUUUUGAAGAGUUUUAGAUAAAUUGAGAGAUAACGGCAAAGCCAUAAGCUACCUGUUAUUAAAUGUCUGCUUUACACAAGCUACAUUAUCUGAAUGAAGCUCCACAAUAAAUCUAAGGUAGGAAACUGAUGAGAAGAUUCAGUGUCUGUUUUCCAGCUUAAAAGACAACUGGAAGUUCAGACAGCUCUAUUCCCAGGUGAAAAGUUAAGGAUGUACAAAGAUCAAAGGAAGAAAUGUUUGUUGUAAAUUGGGAGGGUGAAAUGCCUUCUGGGCUUGGAAGACCAACCAUAAACACAGAAACGGAUGUGAGUUUCAUACUCGUGUCCUAUUACCCUUUCUCCAUUUCAAAUUUUAAGUCUUAAUGAUUUUUAGCAUGUCAUCAAUUACUGAAGUCUUUUGCCAGCAUUAUGUCCACAUGGUAACUCUGCAGGGUAGACAUCAUUAUUCCCUUGGUAAAUGCUUAGGUCAUUUGUUCAAAAGUUCAUGGUAGAAAUGAGUCCUGAACCCAGCUCCUCCAAUUCCACAUCUCAAGCUCUCCUCACAAGCUUCCUUACCAAAUUAUUUUUAUUGUCAUCUUUGGACACAAACUCCUAAUGCUUUUGGAAGGCACUGAUCCCAGGGCCACCCCCUUUCCAUCAGAGAUCACCAACCUGGAGUCCUGGGCCACUUCACUUCCUCGGGCCUGUAAACAGCGAUCUGUAGAGACAGAACACAUACAAACACCGAACCCGGUUUAUUUGCCAGAGAGAAACCAAAUGAUUCUCUAGGUUAAGGCAAAGGGGACUGAUUGGGGGUACUGCCUUCUCUUGUUUUUUUUUUUUUGUUGUUGUUGUUAUUGUUUUUUUCCCCCUUCAGUAACAUGGAAAUUUAAGAAAACUAGAAAAUAACAAUACUUACCAACUUCAGUCAGGUCAAGUAUGUUAACAAUCCCAUGUUCUUGGCAGUAUUUCACAAACUUUUCCUUGAGUUUUUGGCUCACAUCUGGUUCUCGGGCUGUGGGGAGAGUGACAGUAACUGCUGUGUCUUAUGUAUUUGUCACUGAGGCUCAUAAGGGGGUGGCUCCAGAUGGAUGGAAAAUGGACAGCACUGAUUGGGUGCUUAGGCGGAAGUCUUGGGGAUGGGUUAUAACCUGUCUUGAAUUUGACAUCUUUAGGAUAUGGUUCUGGCAGGAAGACAGAUUACCAAAGGUGAGCAUCUGUCUUCAGAGGAGGAGAGACAUUCCAGGAUAAAAACUGGGAGGACCACUUUGUCUCCAGGUUUACCUUCCCUCCCCUCCUUCCCCACCCCAAGAUGAGUGUCAGCAUGAAAAUACCGUACCAUAGAACUCUACCAACUGGAAUGGUCUCGUCUUGUCAAAAUUCAGAAGAUGUAACAGGAUAUACUCAUCAUAGACCGUUUCAACUAUGCUAAAUACAUUGUAUCCAUCAUCUGUGGAGGAAACAGAACACAGUUCAGAAUUUGUGCCACCGUGUGCUGGCCUCUCAGAGCUUGAUAGGUCAGAGCUUGUUAGAUCCACGGGAAGUAAGGAAACCCCUUAUUUUCAACCACCAAACAAAUUCAAGUGCAUAUCCUGGAAGAUAUAGAGAGUAAUAGAGUAAUAUUUAAUGUCUUCAUUUACAUCUCCCUGGGCUUCAUGAGGCGACAUCCAAGGGAUACUGGUAUUUGACUACUAGUAGUAGAAAAAUUCAGCCAUAGCAGCAACUUAUGCUCUAUCAUCCUCCCUGAGACUCACCCACCUCCCUUGACCAUUUCUGCCAACUAUGUGUCUCUAUCCUCUCUAUAGGCCCGCUGGCAUUACAUACCCAGUGCUCUAUAUCCUGAGUGAUGAUGUGCUAUAGCAAUGACCAGCAGACAUCAUCAGAAAGUAGGCAGGGAAUGAGAAGCUGUCCCACCACUUAUUUGUCAAUUUUCUUGCUGGAGGUACAUAUAAGCAAACUACCUUCUUUAUCUGAUGGUAUUAUGUGCCAGGCAUGGACUUUUUUUUACCCAAGGUUCUUCCAGAUUCAGGAUUUGGCUAUUAGAUGGCCCCUCAUUAUAUUAUGUACAUAAGCUAUUGAUCAGGAAUUGGUCAAGAUCUUGAAGAUAUUGGCGUUUAUUAAAUUCUUGGAGUAGAAGUAGAAUUUAGAAAGACUUUUUAAUAUACUUACACACAACAGUAUAUACACCAUCCUUUGUUUUGUCAGCAACCAAAAAUAUUUCAGUACACUUUCCGUUCUCUCUGUAAAACAGAAUAAGCUGAUGUCCAAGAGAUAUUGAUGCCCCAGCUCCCUCACACUCUACCUAUAAUUUGGGUUUCUGAUUCCACUUCACUGUUGAACGUUUUUGGAAUACAGUUUCCAAAAAGCUUUUAUUUACAUUAUUUUACUUUGUGUUACUUUAAGAAUGAGUCAACUACUUCCAUUACUGUCACUCUGCCACUACUUCCCACUAUUAUCACUACAACUACCUGUCUAGAUAAUUAGCUUAGUGUUCACCAUGUGCCAGCCUCUCACAGAAGUGCUCUCCAAACAUUACCUCACAUGGUCCUUGCAAAACAAAUAAAUAAACCAUUAAAGAGAA